CCGAGGAUGAACGCUAGCGGCAGGCUUAACACAUGCAAGUCGAGGGGUAUUGGUUUUCGGACCAAGAGACCGGCGCACGGGUGCGUAACGCGUAUGCAAUCUACCUUUCACAGAGGGAUAGCCCAGAGAAAUUUGGAUUAAUACCUCAUAGUAUGCWGAGUUGGCAUCARCAYWGCAUUAAAGUCACAACGGUGAAAGAUGAGCAUGCGUCCCAUUAGCUAGUUGGUAAGGUAACGGCUUACCAAGGCAACGAUGGGUAGGGGUCCUGAGAGGGAGAUCCCCCACACUGGUACUGAGACACGGACCAGACUCCUACGGGAGGCAGCAGUGAGGAAUAUUGGACAAUGGGCGCAAGCCUGAUCCAGCCAUGCCGCGUGCAGGAUGACGGUCCUAUGGAUUGUAAACUGCUUUUAUACAGGAAGAAACACUGGUUCGUGAACCAGCUUGACGGUACUGUAAGAAUAAGGAUCGGCUAACUCCGUGCCAGCAGCCGCGGUAAU
rnacentral:rRNA from 1 species